rnacentral:rRNA from 1 species
GACGAACGCUGGCGGCGUGCCUAAUACAUGCAAGUAGGACGCAGUUGCGAACGGGUGAGUAACGCGUAGGUAACUACCUAUUAGAGGGGGAUAACUAUUGGACACGAUAGCUAAUACCGCAUACUAGUAGAUGGACCUGCGUUGUAUUAGCUAGUAGGUAGGGUAAUGGCCUACCUAGGCCACGAUACAUAACCGACCUGAGAGGGUGAACGGCCAAAAUGGGACUGAGACAAAGCCCAGAACCCUACGGGAGGGAGGAGGAGGGAAUCUUCGGCCAUGGGGGGAAACCUGACCGAGCAACGCCGCGGGAGUGAAGAAGGUUUUCGGAUCGUAAAGCUCUGUUGUUAAGGAAGCGGUACUUAACCAGAAAGGGACGGCUAACUACGUGCCAGCCGCCGCGGUAAUAC